GAGUUUGAUUCUGGCUCAGGAUGAACGCUGGCGGCGUGCCUAAUACAUGCAAGUUGAACGGACUUGGAGGGUGCUUGCACCUAACAAGUUAGUAGCGAACGGGUGAGUAAUACAUAAGCAACCUACCUAUUAGACUGGGAUAACUAUGGGAAACGAUAGCUAAUACCGGAUAGGUAACUUGAAGGCAUCUUUAAGUUAUUAAAGGUUAGAGACACUAAUAGAUGGGCUUAUGGCGUAUUAGUUAGUUGGUGAGGUAACGGCUCACCAAGACGAUGAUACGUAGCCGGCCUGAGAGGGUGAACGGCCACAUUGGGACUGAGACACGGCCCAGACUCCUACGGGAGGCAGCAGUAGGGAAUUUUCGGCAAUGGGCGCAAGCCUGACCGAGUAACGCCGCGUGAGUGAAGAAGGCCUUCGGGUUGUAAAGCUCUGUUAUAAAUUAAGAAUGGCUAUAA
rnacentral:rRNA from 1 species